GUCCACGCCGUAAACGAUGGGCACUAGGUGUGGGAGGUGUCGACUCCUCCCGUGCCGGCGCUAACGCAUUAAGUGCCCCGCCUGGGGAGUACGGCCGCAAGGCUAAAACUCAAAGGAAUUGACGGGGCCCGCACAAGCAGCGGAGCAUGUGGUUUAAUUCGACGCAACGCGAAGAACCUUACCUGGGCUUGACAUGUAUGUGACAGCCGUGGAAACACGGCCUUCCUUCGGGACACUUACACAGGUGGUGCAUGGCUGUCGU
rnacentral:rRNA from 1 species